UACCAGCUCUCCGAGUGGUGUGGAUGUUUAUUGGGCCUAAAGCAUCCGUAGCUGGCUGGGCAAGUCCCCUGUUAAAUCCACCGAUUCAAUCGUUGGUGUGCGGGGGAAACUGCUCGGCUAGGGGACGGGAGAGGCCGACGGUAUUUCCGGGGUAGGGGUGAAAUCCUAUAAUCCCGGGAAGACCACCAGUGGCGAAGGCUGUCGGCUAGAACGCGCCCGACGGUGAGGGAUGAAAGCUGGGGGAGCGAACCGGAUUAGAUACCCGGGUAGUCCCAGCUGUAAACGAUGCAGGCUAGGUGUUUGGGCGGCCACGUGCCGCUCUAGUGCCGCAAGGAAGCUGUUAAGCCUGCCGCCUGGGGAGUACGAUCGCAAGAUUGAAAUUUAAAGGAAUUGGCGGGGGAGCACCACAAGGGGUGAAGCUUGCGGUUU
rnacentral:rRNA from 1 species